rnacentral:misc_RNA from 1 species
UUGAAUGAAUCUAGAGUUGGUUGUUGCUGGCCUCUUCCCGAGGCAUGUGCACACCUUCUCUUUCAUCCACACACACACCUGUGCACUUGUGAGAUGGAGGGCUGGAAUUUUUCUAACCCUUCCAUCUGCUAUUACACAAACACAAUUUAAUUUAAACUGAAUGUAAUUGAUGUAAUGCAUCUAAUAC